UCCCCACCUCCACCAGUUAAAUCCCCAGCUCCAAAGCCAUACUACUACAAAUCUCCACCACCUCCAUCACCUUCACCCCCUCCACCUUACUAUUACAAUUCCCCACCACCCCCAGUUAAGUCCCCAGCUCCAAAGCCAUACUACUACAAGUCCCCACCCCCUCCUUCACCUUCUCCUCCCCCACCCUACUACUACAAGUCUCCACCUCCACCAAUUAAGUCUCCAGCCCCAACGCCUUACUAUUACAAGUCUCCACCACCUCCUUCACCAUCUCCCACACCACCUUACUAUUACAAUUCCCCACCUCCACCAGUUAAGUCUCCAACUCCAACUCCUUACUACUAUAAGUCCCCACCACCACCUUCACC
rnacentral:lncRNA from 1 species